CAGCCGCGGUAAUACAUAGGGUGCAAGCGUUGUCCGGAAUUAUUGGGCGUAAAGAGCUCGUACGUCGUUUGUUACGUCGGAUGUGAAAACCUGAGGCUCAACCUCACGCCUGCAUUCGAUACGGGCAAACUAGAGUUUGGUAGGGGAGACUGGAAUUCCUGGUGUAGCGGUGGAAUGCGCAGAUAUCAGGAGGAACACCAAUGGCGAAGGCAGGUCUCUGGGCCAAUACUGACACUGAGGAGCGAAAGUCUGGGGAGCGAACAGGAUUAGAUACCCUGGUAGUCCAGACCGUAAACGGUGGGCACUAGUUGUGGGAACCUUCCACGGUUUCUGCGACGCAGCUAACGCAUUAAGUGCCCCGCCCGGGGAGUACGAUCGCAAGAUUAAAACUC
rnacentral:rRNA from 1 species